rnacentral:sRNA from 1 species
GGCAAUGAGUUGUGCCUCGAGGGCCGCC